CCAUUAAGUUGUUUUCGAUGUUGGGACUUACAAAUCGACGAUAGACUUCAUUAAACUUGAUCUAGAGUAUUUAAAAUAGCUAGAAAAUAAAUUUCGUUAUUUUUUUAUAUCAUUUAACUAGUGAUCAAAAGUGCUCAAAAUUAAUGGUUGGAAAUAAAAAUCUUACAAAAAGUGAUGAUAUAAUUUUAAAAUUUUAAAUCAAAAAUAUUGAUCGUGUAUUAUAUAGUAUAACAAAUUUUUUAUAAAAAUUUUAUAUAAUUUGGAUAUUUUUAUACGGUUAAAUUUGCACACGGCUCACUGCGACUAUUAAAAUUAUUGAUUUUGGGGCCCUUCGAUUACUAGGUAAAUGAUAUUGAAAAAUCGUGGACUUAUUUUUUAAGUACCUUAAAUAUUUUAGAUUGUCUAACGGAGUCGACCGUCGAUUUGGGAAGUCCUAGCAUAGAAAACGAUUUGAUACCACAGAGGCUACUAUGCUUCUAAAAAUACG
rnacentral:lncRNA from 1 species